rnacentral:misc_RNA from 1 species
GAUGAAGAACGCAGCGAAAUGCGAUACGUAGUGUGAAUUGCAGAAUUCAGUGAAUCAUCGAAUCUUUGAACGCACAUUGCACCUCUCGGUAUUCCGGGAGGUAUGCCUGUUCGAGCGUCAUUUGUACCCUCAAGCUCUGCUUGGUGUUGGGUGUUUGUUCCGCCUCUGUGUGUGAACUCGCCUCAAAACAAUUGGCAGCCGGCGUACUUGUUUCGGAGCGCAGCACAUUUUGCGAUCCAGAUCAACGUACAGCGGCAUCCAAGAAGCCUUAUUUAACGCUCUUGACCUCGGAUCAGGUAGGGAUACCCGCUGAACUUAAGCAUAUCAAUAUGCGGAGGA